rnacentral:rRNA from 1 species
CAGCCCCGGUCCAUCGCACCGCGGAAUGGCGCUGGUGAAAGCCGUCAUGGACGACCUGUACGAUGUACUUCCACAUCAUUAACAUGCCCGGCCCUCGUUGCGCAUCGCCCUGGCCUGCUGCCUCAACAUGUGCGGCGCGGUCCACUGCUCCGACAUCGCCAUCCUGGGCAUCCACCGCAAGCCGCCCGUGGUCGACCACGAGUAGAUCGACAACGUGUGCGAAAUUCCCUCUGGUCAUCGCGUCCUGCCCCACCGGCGCCAUUAAGCCCGAUCAAGACGUCAGGAGGCGUAAACAUCCAAGAAGAACAGUGGCCUGU